rnacentral:tRNA from 1 species
GUGGUUCAGGGGUAGAAUUCUCACCUUCCAUGUGGGAGACCCAGGUUUGAUUCCUGGC